rnacentral:rRNA from 1 species
GACGAACGCUGGCGGCGUGCUUAACACAUGCAAGUCGAACGGAAAGGCCCUGCUUUUGUGGGUUGCUCGAGUGGCGAACGGGUGAGUAACACGUGAGUAACCUGCCCUUGACUUUGGGAUAACUUCAGGAAACUGGGGCUAAUACCGGAUAGGAUCUCCUGCUGCAUGGUGGUGGUUGGAAAGUUUCGGCGGUUGGGGAUGGACUCGCGGCUUAUCAGCUUGUUGGUGGGGUAGUGGCUUACCAAGGCUUUGACGGGUAGCCGGCCUGAGAGGGUGACCGGCCACAUUGGGACUGAGAUACGGAGCAGACUCCUACGGGCGGCAGCAGUGGGGAAUAUUGCACAAUGGGCGGAAGCCUGAUGCAGCAACGCCGCGUGCGGGAUGACGGCCUUCGGGUUGUAAACCGCUUUCGCCUGUGACGAAGCGUGAGUGACGGUAAUGGGUAAAGAAGCACCGGCUAACUACGUG